GCCCGCGUGGCGGAACAGGCAGACGCGACGGACUUAAAAUCCGUUGGCUUACAGCCGUGCCGGUUCGACCCCGGCCGCGGGCACCA
rnacentral:tRNA from 1 species